rnacentral:rRNA from 1 species
UACGGAGGGUGCAAGCGUUGCUCGGAAUUAUUGGGCGUAAAGGGUAUGUAGGUGGUCUUAUUUGUCUGGGGUGAAAGCCUUGAGCUUAACUCAAGAAGUGCCCCAGAAACGGUGAGACUAGAGUCCUGGAGAGGGUCGUGGAAUUCCCGGUGUAGCGGUGAAAUGCGUAGAGAUCGGGAGGAACACCAGAGGCGAAGGCGGCGACCUGGACAGGCACUGACACUCAACUACGAAAGCGUGGGGAGCAAACAGG